GUCGAACGAACUCUUCGGAGUUAGUGGCGGACGGGUGAGUAACACGUGGGAACGUGCCUUUAGGUUCGGAAUAACUCAGGGAAACUUGUGCUAAUACCGAAUGUGCCCUUCGGGGGAAAGAUUUAUCGCCUUUAGAGCGGCCCGCGUCUGAUUAGCUAGUUGGUGAGGUAAAGGCUCACCAAGGCGACGAUCAGUAGCUGGUCUGAGAGGAUGAUCAGCCACAUUGGGACUGAGACACGGCCCAAACUCCUACGGGAGGCAGCAGUGGGGAAUCUUGCGCAAUGGGCGAAAGCCUGACGCAGCCAUGCCGCGUGAAUGAUGAAGGUCUUAGGAUUGUAAAAUUCUUUCACCGGGGACGAUAAUGACGGUACCCGGAGAAGAAGCCCCGGCUAACUUCGUGCCAGCAGCCGCGGUAAUACGAAGGGGGCUAGCGUUGCUCGGAAUUACUGGGCGUAAAGGGAGCGUAGGCGGACAUUUAAGUCAGGGGUGAAAUCCCGGGGCUCAACCUCGGAAUUGCCUUUGAUACUGGGUGUCUUGAGUAUGAGAGAGGUGUGUGGAACUCCGAGUGUAGAGGUGAAAUUCGUAGAUAUUCGGAAGAACACCAGUGGCGAAGGCGACACACUGGCUCAUUACUGACGCUGAGGCUCGAAAGCGUGGGGAGCAAACAGGAUUAGAUACCCUGGUAGUCCACGCCGUAAACGAUGAUUGCUAGUUGUCGGGAUGCAUGCAUUUCGGUGACGCAGCUAACGCAUUAAGC
rnacentral:rRNA from 1 species